GAGGGAAUAGCUCAGUGGGAGAGGGUGUGUUUCGCAUGCAUGAAGUCUGGGUUCAGUCCCCAGUGCCUCCA
rnacentral:tRNA from 1 species